CCAGUUUAUUGCAAUAUCACAGAUCUUGUUGUUCAGCUGCGUUGCUCCCUGCAGGGAGGCCCCAGUGUAGCGAGAGCAAAACUCAAAGAGCCCUGGAAACACUGGGCAGUCAUCGCCCACGUUGAAAGCAUUGAGGCUUUUGGUGAAGCCCUGCAUGUUGUUGGGACUCACUCUCUGCAGGAAGUCUAUGUAGUCCUCGGAGUGGAAUCUGCACAUGUCAUGCUGCGAUGCCUGGUAUGGCUUGAAAACGAUCAUCUUCUUGUAGAGGCCGUAGUGCAGCACCAGGCUGUGGGUGAGCGCCAGGCGGUGCGGCUUCAUGGGGUGCCCGGCUCCGUAGUGGAAAUUGCCGACGUCCGGGUCG
rnacentral:lncRNA from 1 species